AUUUUCUUCUUCCUCCCCUCUCAGCCGUUUCUUUCUCAACAGCCCCUCACCUCUCUCUCGGCCACAAACAAAACCGAACCGUCCCCCACCAGCCGACCAUUUUUUUCUUCUCAUCUUUCACAGCCAGCCCACAGACUCUCCCCAGCACGCCGGAGCCACCACCGCUGGACCUUCCACCUCUGCCUCUCCACCGCAGCUCACUUCUUUUCUUCCAGUCCAUCGCCGACCGAACCUGCGUCUCCUCCUCCUCCAGACCAUCAACGGCGUCCUCCUACAGCAGCAGCUCCUCCUCCACAGAUCCUCCCUCUCAGCUGUUCCCCUUGCUCUUCGCAGCUCCUCAACCGGAUCGAAGCCUCCAGUAGCAGUCUGAAACGGCGACGCCCACGGAUCUCUGAUCUGUCCGCCGCCGGUUUCCUGCUUCAAUCGACCACCCACAGCUCCUCCUCCACGACGAUCUACCACCGGAGACGAAGAAGAAACCCAUAACAGGGCGAUCUGGGGAAAGAAUUUAGAACCGAAACCGAGAAGAAGAAAAACCGAAGCAGCUCUGCAAAACGAAAAAACAAAAAUUAAAAUCGACUGUGUUGUGCUUUUUUCUGUUAUUGUAGGUAACGACGGU
rnacentral:lncRNA from 1 species